rnacentral:lncRNA from 1 species
AAUUCCCGCAUUAUACUGGUGGGCGACCUAGAACUUAAAAGUAUUCCCGCAUUAUACUGGUGGGCGACCUAGAACUUAAAAGUAUUCCCGCAUUAUACUGGUGGGCGACCUAGAACUUAAAUGUAUUCCCGCAUUAUACUGGUGGGCGACCUAGAACUUAAAAGUAUUCCCGCAUUAUACUGGUGGGCGACCUAGAACAUAAAUGUAUUCCCGCAUUAUACUGGUGGGCGACCUAGAACUUAAAUGUAUUCCCGCAUUAUACUGGUGGGCGACCUAGAACUUAAAUGUAUUUGAAAUUGUUUCCCCGUUCUU